rnacentral:lncRNA from 1 species
AACUUAGGGACCAAAAAAAGGAUUUAAACCUAGAAAGAAACACUCAAGGGUGUUACUCCCUUUCGCUAUACCUUUCCAAAUUUUUUCUUAUUAAAAAUAUCCUGAGUUAAAAUUUUUUAACUUACCAUUUUAUUUUAUUUAUUUAUUUAAAACCCUAAUUUACCUCAUCCUUCACUUUCUCUCUUCCUCACAAGAGAGCCCCCACCCUCUCACUUUCUC